UUGUUCCUAAAGUUACCAAGCGAUCUCCAACUCUUCUCUGAAUUUGUAUCCACAUCCACAAGUCCAUCAAGAUACUUUGUUGAACCAAUUUUCUCAAACUGCACUCUUUGCCUGGGUGCGCUAUGCGACCUAAGUUUCGCAAGGUACGAUUCUGUAUUAGACAUAUAGUUGGGGUGACCUAGGUAGUCUGCAAACAAGCUUCGUGAGCACUCGCUUCUCGAAGGAGAGGGGCCUCUUCUACUGCUACUCCCGGGUCUGGACAAUGUGGAGUGCACUCCAGGGCUGUGCUCAACAGUCCAAGCAGUUGGCUGAUCAGUAUCUUGACAAAAUGUCAGUGACCUUAAANUAUGAGCUUCAUGAUGAUACAACGUCUUGCCCACACUGCCAGAGCCGUCCCAUACUUUGUCGGGGUAAGGAACGAAAACUAGGGGAGUGGAUCUAUCCCAAAACUGGGUCAUCUCAGUGGAUAGUCAGGAGUUGUACCUUGGUACAAUCCUAUCCUACGCUGGCUACAUGUCAUCUUCGUGUAAUAAGUAACAUUGGGAUCUGCUUCUUGUUGUGGGGACUACUUAUCUCGAAUGGAGGUGUCAUCCAAAGCAUGGGAUGAAUACUAUUUUGGGCAUUUUCUUCAUCCAUGGGACCCAAAGUAUGUGGAAAGAAAACUUUCUGGAAAUGUAUGAUUGCUCCUUUUUCUUUUUGUCAUUUCAGUUUUGGAUCUUCAGUUUUACUAAUGAUUGAACAACUAUUGGGGUCUAAUGUCAAUCUAAAAGGAAGCAUAAAGUAAAGAACUUUACCCUAACAUAGAAGGCAUAAAUCCCUUCGUGAAUGUAUAGUUCAUUCAUGUGAAGAAAAGUGACUGCAAACUAAUAAUGACCGACCUUUUUUGCUUAGCUGCUGUAAUUAUUGGCAUCCUUUAAUGAGAUUUUAUCAGUUCACUUUAUCAAAAAAAAGAAAGAACAAAAUAAAGUUCUGGAUGUCACACUAGUGUACAUCAGGCAUGUUACAAGUCAUCCUCAACUCUCAAGUGAUGCAAAAAUUGGUAGUAUUAUCAAACAUUGUCACAUGCAAUAAUUAAUAACUUAACAUUGUUACAAGCAAAAUUUAACAACUCAACAGAGGACAAUCCAAGACGACCAUCAAACAAGAUAAUUGCAACCGGUUAUUUUCACUCUACAAACAUAAGCCUUGUCAUCAGCUUGGCAAGUACUUACCUUAGGUCACAUUGAGACCAAGGUUGACUUUUACCACUUGAAUUUGUACUUCAUGAGUAAAUUGCUUCACAACUGUCAAAGGAAGCAUCUCUUUUUAAUGUCUCGGGCCGAAAGGAGAGCCGGAACGGACAGCAUUGUGAUGGCCAGGUGUUCCUACUCGGUCUGAUUGACCCGACCCUGGUUUCUCUUUGUUCCUAAAGUUACCAAGCGAUCUCCAACUCUUCUCUGAAUUUGUAUCCACAUCCACAAGUCCAUCAAGAUACUUUGUUGAACCAAUUUUCUCAAACUGCACUCUUUGCCUGGGUGCGCUAUGCGACCUAAGUUUCGCAAGGUACGAUUCUGUAUUAGACAUAUAGUUGGGGUGACCUAGGUAGUCUGCAAACAAGCUUCGUGAGCA
rnacentral:lncRNA from 1 species